rnacentral:lncRNA from 1 species
UUAGCUUCGACCUCCAUUCUGCAUCGGCAGCAUCUCGGAUAUUACUGCAGAGAAAAUGAUCGAAAACUGACCUUUGGAUUAUCGGUUUCUUUUUAUGUCCAUGGAAGAACAAUGCUGAUGAAGAUGUAUGUUUAACCAAAACUGUGGUUGAUGUAGUUAAUAGGAUAUAGUGCAUUGAUCUAACCGGUGGCUGAUGUGGGUGCAAACGUUUUAAUAGGAAAAAUUGCUGGAUGGUCCAUGUCAGCAUCUCGAUGACUGGCUCUAAGAUCGAUGCUGCUGUUGAUUUUUUCUAAUUCCGUUCCGCUUCCAG